UACAGAGGGUGCAAGCGUUAAUCGGAAUUACUGGGCGUAAAGCGUGCGUAGACGGUUAUGUAAGUCAGGUGUGAAAGCCCCGGGCUCAACCUGGGAAUUGCAUUUGAGACUGCAUAGCUAGGGUGCGGAAGAGGGAAGCGGAAUUUCCGGUGUAGCGGUGAAAUGCGUAGAUAUCGGAAGGAACACCAGUGGCGAAAGCGGCUUCCUGGUCCAGCACCGACGUCCAGGCACGAAAGCGUGGGGAGCAAACAGG
rnacentral:rRNA from 1 species